rnacentral:rRNA from 1 species
AUGUGGCGGCCGAUGCCAAAAAGUCAGCGUGGCCCACCACCGACCCCAUAUACUCACAUCCGUUUUCGGAGGGCGUCCACGGGAACCGUUAGGUGCUCGUGCCCUCGUCGAUGCCGGGCCGGUCGAGGACACCCGAGUCGAAGGCGCGGACCACAUUACGUGAGCAACAACGCGCAAGGGAGAGGUUGGCGGCGGGUGACACGUUGGCGAGGGGCCGGGCAAUUGCACACAUGUCAGUCGAUCCGAGGACCCGCUCAUUGUAUCUGUCCUCCGCCACUCCUUGGUAUCGGCGAAGUCAGAUGCGCGACGGCUCCGGAGGAAGAACGCCAAAGCGCUCCGGCUCGCCAUCGAGCUGUGGGAGUGCGAGGCAAUGGCGAAGGCGAGGAGGCACGCUGA